rnacentral:lncRNA from 1 species
AGCUUUGCUUUUCUGGAUAUUUCUAUUUGUAGCUACAACAUAUUGCCAAUGGAUAUUCAUAAUCUGACCAGAUAACAGUCUGAGACAAUGUGGGCUAGAGAUGACCACGAAUUUCCUCUUUGUCAGGUUGCAUGUGCAUGUGCUGUUGCCGCAUUCAAGCUACGGCGUCCUGUUCGGAUGUACCUCGAUCGCAAGACAGACAUGAUAAUAGCAGGUGGGCGGCAUCCUAUGAAGGUGAAGUACUCCGUUGGGUUCAAGUCAGAUGGCAAGAUCACGGCCUUGCACCUUGACCUUGGGAUCAAUGCUGGAAUAUCACCGGAUGUGAGUCCAUUGAUGCCACCUGCUAUCAUAGGCGCUCUCAAAAAGUACAACUGGGGCAAUCUUGCAUUUGAUGCCAAGGUCUGCAAGACAAAUGUCUCAUCAAAAUCAGCAAUGAGGGGUCCUGGGGAUGUGCAGGGCUCUUUCAUUGCUGAAGCCAUCAUUGAGCAUGUUGCCUCAGCACUCUCAGUUGACACUAACACCAUCAGGAGGAAGAAUCUGCAUGACUAUAAGAGCCUUGCAGUGUUCUAUGGAGAAAGUGCAGGUGAAGCUUCUACAUACAGCCUGGCCACCAUGUUUGAUAAGCUGGCCUCAUCUCCAGACUACCAGCACAGAGCUGAAAUGGUUGAGCACUUCAACAGAAGCAGCAAGUGGAAGAAACGUGGCAUUUCUUGUGUGCCAAUCACAUACAAAGUGGGGCUUCGGCCAACUCCAGGCAAGGUGUCUAUCAUGAAUGAUGGUUCCAUUGCGGUUGAGGUUGGAGGAGUGGAGAUAGGGCAAGGGCUGUGGACGAAAGUGAAGCAGAUGACGGCAUUCGGGUUGGGACAGUUGUGUACUGACGGCGGUGAAUGCCUCCUUGACAAGGUGCGGGUUAUCCAGGCCGACACAUUGAGCAUGAUCCAGGGAGGGUUCACCGGUGGGAGCACCACUUCUGAAACUAGCUGUGAAGCGGUUCGACUAUCAUGCGCUGCGCUUGUUGAGAGGCUUAAGCCUAUAAAGGAGAGCCUGGAGGCUAAGACUGGCACAGUGGAAUGGAGCGCCAUAAUUGCUCAGGUAAGGAUUAACCUUGUAAAUUCAGUACUUCACUUGCUCAGAACAAUAUCAAGAAGAUUCAAAGUAGCUUUAAUCUUCUCUAGCUCCUUUAUGUCAUCAAUAAACUACAAGCAGUAGCAGUAGCAGUAGCACUUUAGUGGUGAGAUCAAUUUUUCAUGACAUUUGUUCCUCAAUAAACUGUAAGGAGCUUAGUAUUUGACACUUCCAAUUGUUCAUGGCAUUUUUUCCCUCACGUGCAGGCAAGUACGGCAAGUGUGAACUUGUCGGCACAUGCAUACUGGACCCCUGAUCCAUCAUUCAGAAGCUACUUGAACUAUGGAGCUGCCAUUAGUGAGGUAUCCCUGAUCCAAAUUGCAAUAACGACACUGCAAAUGCAGUUACCAUGCUAAAUUCUUGGAGGCGGCAGUUUCUGUCCUGCUCAAUGCUGACAAGUGAUUCGAAAUUUGACCACAGGUGGAAGUUGAUGUCCUGACAGGAGCAACAACAAUUCUAAGGAGUGACCUCCUGUACGAUUGUGGGCAAAGCCUGAACCCAGCAGUAGACUUGGGCCAGGUUAGUCCCGAAAUACUAACUGCUUGCGCACAUCAUUGCAUGAAUGGAAACAUGCUCCUCCUCUGAACACUGGUUUUGAAUCUUGAUUAACUCAGGUGGAAGGUGCAUUUGUCCAAGGAGUGGGCUUCUUCACAAAUGAGGAGUAUGCAACGAACUCUGAUGGCAUGGUCAUCAACGACGGCACAUGGACAUACAAGAUCCCCACGGUUGACACCAUCCCAAAGCAGUUCAACGUCGAGCUGAUCAACAGCGCCCGCGACCAGAAGCGUGUCCUCUCUUCAAAGGGUGAGCCUCUUCUCACAUUUUUCAUCCCCUACCAACAUUCUGUUCUGCAGACCGUGUCGAGCUUCUGAGAACUGAAAACACUCUAAUUUGCGCUCAUGACUGAUGGUUGCCUGCACCCCCUGACAUCCCGUGGCUCUUUGUUUGCAGCAUCGGGUGAGCCGCCGCUGCUUCUCGCGUGCUCGGUGCACUGCGCCAUGAGGGAGGCCAUCAGGGCCGCCAGGAAGGAGUUCUCGGUCUGCACCGGGCCAGCGAACUCCGCCAUCACGUUCCAGAUGGACGUCCCGGCGACGAUGCCCGUCGUGAAGGAGCUCUGCGGCCUGGACGUCGUCGAGAGGUACCUCGAGAGCGUGUCCGCUGCCGGCCCAACCACCGCAAAAGCAUACAUAGAUCCAGCAAGCGCCCUGCCCAUGACGAAUGAGGUUAAUCAGUCAGUGUAAAUGGCAUGGCAUGCCUAGCUUGUAAGGUGUGAUGCUCUGAAUCUCUGAUCAUGUACAGAAAAGAUAGCGACUGCGAGCUGUGGUCUUGUGAAUCAAGAGUAUAGAGGGAAACUAAACUGAAUAAGUGCCGGGCAGUGCGAAUUCGUGGGUGGAAUCAUGUGAUUUCGACUCUUCGUUCAGAGGUGCGUACCUGCCUUGUGCGUAGAUGGGGAUCGGACUGGACCAGCUAGGUUAGGCCUCGCCGUCGCCGCGGCACGGGAUGCCAUGCUUUCGGCCUCGCGCCCUCGGCGCCGGCAGCAACGGCGGCCAUUCCUCCCCCACGCGCCGUUGGUUGGUCCCGUGCCGGCUGGCGAUGGGGUGCGGCGGCCGCGAACAGGCGGCGCGGCGGGGGAGCGAGCUCACCUCUGCUUGAUUUCGCUGGAGCCGCGUGCCCCUAACGCACGGGGCCUGAUGGCUGAUGCUGCGUGGAUUUGGCCGCUGCCGCCGGGCCCUGUGGUUGAUGGCGCAUUCCGGCAGCCGCCGCCAGCCAGCCAGGCAGCCUCGGGUUGCCGGAGCGGGCGGCCGUUGCUUCCGAUUUGGUUUCGAUGCUUCUCGACCGCUCGAUCACAAAGCGCUGAAAAUCUAACGGAUGUGAAGCGCGCGCAGUUCGUCUUCCGCGGCUCCACGAUCAGAAUACAGGUUUGCUACAUUGGCGGAUAGUGAUCGGUGAUAGCAAUCGCUUGAUUGAUUUUUUUGCUUGACGCCAUCCCAAUGAUAACGACACUAACAGUUUGGAGCCUUGUACGAGUGCAGUUGAUCCUGGCCCAUCACUUGCAUUAUAGUCACUUUUAAGUCACAGAUCCUCUGAGUUUUUUAGAUAAUUUUCGAACAUCAAGCCUAUAGAACUUUGUCUGUCAGAAUUUUCAUUAAAAAUGUUUCAAAAAAUAGUAAACAUUUCUCUUAAUCUCCUAAACUCUUAAAUUUAGAAACAUAUUCUAGUAGAAAACAGUAGUGCUCAAACGCACUCAUCGGGUACCAACCAUUCAUUUGGGUAGAAACACCAAAGUGCGGCCUCCUGUCAGGAUGUACCUCGAUCGCAAGACAGACAUGAU